GCUGAUAGAGUCGGCUUAGCUGAGUCUUCUUCAUUUUCCAGCUUCAAACAUUUACAUUAUACGUGUUUUUGUUUAUAGUAGUGUGGAUUAUUUUGUGUAUUGAUCAGUAACAAACACUUGAACUGGCUGUUUUCGCAAUGGGUGGGAAGAAGAAGAAGUCUGCAGCGUCCGAACGCACCGGUGGGCGGGGUUAGAGCGUUCCGCGGUGGGCGUGGCCUGUUGAACUACAAACAAGCGAAUGGAGAGGAUCGUGUUGUGUGUUCUUCAGCUCUUGUGUGAGGAAUUCUUUUGAAAAGAUGACCUUUCAGACUUGGCAUGUGGGGACAAAUAUCCAUCCACACAAGAUACACAGGACUCUUGGGUCUGCUAUUACUGCUGUAAUGGGUGGUUUCACUGGGAAUGUGUUAACCAACCCAAUAUAAAAGUUGUUUUGUUUGUCCUGGAUGCCAAUGCCCUGUUUAAUUUUGUAAUAGGAUUUCUAUGCACCAUUUGAUUAGAUGCCCAUAUAAUCCCCAGCUCAAUGACAAUGAAGAUAUGACGCCCAUCCUGAAGAUGUGACUAACAGAUGCAUAGGUUCUGU